rnacentral:rRNA from 1 species
CACUGUCACUCCUACGGGGAGCAGCAGUGGGGAAUAUUGCACAAUGGGCGCAAGCCUGAUGCAGCCAUGCCGCGUGUGUGAAGAAGGCCUUCGGGUUGUAAAGCACUUUCAGUCGUGAGGAAGGCGGGUACGUUAAUAGCGUAUUCGUUUGACGUUAGCGACAGAAGAAGCACCGGCUAACUCCGUGCCAGCAGCCGCGGUAAUACGGAGGGUGCGAGCGUUAAUCGGAAUUACUGGGCGUAAAGCGCAUGCAGGUGGUUUGUUAAGUCAGAUGUGAAAGCCCGGGGCUCAACCUCGGAAUAGCAUUUGAAACUGGCAGACUAGAGUACUGUAGAGGGGGGUAGGAAUUUCAGGUGUAGCGGUGAAAUGCGUAGAGAUCUGAAGGAAUACCGGUGGCGAAGGCGGCCCCCUGGACAGAUACUGACACUCAGAUGCGAAAGCGUGGGGAGCAAACAGGAUUAGAUACCCUGGUAG